ACGGGAGGCAGCAGUGGGGAAUAUUGGGCAAUGGGCGAAAGCCUGACCCAGCGACGCCGCGUGAGGGAAGACGGUCUUCGGAUUGUAAACCUCUUUCAGCAGGGAAGACAAAAGGACGGUACCUGCAGAAGAAGCCACGGCUAACUACGUGCCAGCAGCCGCGGUAAUACGUAGGUGGCAAGCGUUAUCCGGAAUUACUGGGUGUAAAGGGUGUGUAGGCGGGACUGCAAGUCAGAUGUGAAAAUUAUGGGCUCAACCCAUAACCUGCGUCUGAAACUGUGGUUCUUGAGAGUGGGAGAGGUAAAUGGAAUUCCUGGUGUAGCGGUGAAAUGCGUAGAUAUCAGGAGGAACACCGGUGGCGAAGGCGAUUUACUGGACCACAACUGACGCUGAGACACGAAAGCGUGGGGAGCAAACAGGAUUAGAUACCCUGGUA
rnacentral:rRNA from 1 species